rnacentral:rRNA from 1 species
CUGACGAGUGGCGGACGGGUGAGUAAUGUCUGGGAAACUGCCUGAUGGAGGGGGAUAACUACUGGAAACGGUAGCUAAUACCGCAUAACGUCGCAAGACCAAAGAGGGGGACCUUCGGGCCUCUUGCCAUCGGAUGUGCCCAGAUGGGAUUAGCUAGUAGGUGGGGUAACGGCUCACCUAGGCGACGAUCCCUAGCUGGUCUGAGAGGAUGACCAGCCACACUGGAACUGAGACACGGUCCAGACUCCUACGGGAGGCAGCAGUGGGGAAUAUUGCACAAUGGGCGCAAGCCUGAUGCAGCCAUGCCGCGUGUAUGAAGAAGGCCUUCGGGUUGUAAGGUACUUUCAGCGGGGAGGAAGGCGAUAAGGUUAAUAACCUUGUCGAUUGACGUUACCCGCAGAAGAAGCACCGGCUAACUCCGUGCCAGCAGCCGCGGUAAUACGGAGGGUGCAAGCGUUAAUCGGAAUUACUGGGCGUAAAGCGCACGCAGGCGGUCUGUCAAGUCGGAUGUGAAAUCCCCGGGCUCAACCUGGGAACUGCAUUCGAAACUGGCAGGCUAGAGUCUUGUAGAGGGGGGUGGAAUUCCAGGUGUAGCGGUGAAAUGCGUAGAGAUCUGGAGGAAUACCGGUGGCGAAGGCGGCCCCCUGGACAAAAACUGACGCUCAGGUGCGAAAGCGUGGGGGAGCAAACAGGAUUAGAUACCCCUGGUAGUCCACGCCCCUUAAACGAUGUCCGACUUGGAGUUUGUGCCCUUUGAGGCGUGGCUUCCGGAAGCUAACG